rnacentral:rRNA from 1 species
CAUUGGGACUGAGACACUGCCCAAACUCCUACGGGAGGCUGCAGUAGGGAAUUUUCCGCAAUGCACGAAAGUGUGACGGAGCGACGCCGCGUGUGUGAUGAAGGCUUUCGGGUCGUAAAGCACUGUUGUAAGGGAAGAAUAACUGAAUUCAGAGAAAGUUUUCAGCUUGACGGUACCUUACCAGAAAGGGAUGGCUAAAUACGUGCCAGCAGCCGCGGUAAUACGUAUGUCCCGAGCGUUAUCCGGAUUUAUUGGGCGUAAAGCGAGCGCAGACGGUUUAUUAAGUCUGAUGUGAAAUCCCGAGGCCCAACCUCGGAACUGCAUUGGAAACUGAUUUACUUGAGUGCGAUAGAGGCAAGUGGAACUCCAUGUGUAGCGGUGAAAUGCGUAGAUAUGUGGAAGAACACCAGUGGCGAAAGCGGCUUGCUAGAUCGUAACUGACGUUGAGGCUCGAAAGUAUGGGUAGCAAACGGGAUUAGAUACCCCGGUAGUCCAUACCGUAAACGAUGGGUGCUAGUUGUUAAGAGGUUUCCGCCUCCUAGUGACGUAGCAAACGCAUUAAGCACCCCGCCUGAGGAGUACGGCCGCAAGGCUAAAACUUAAAGGAAUUGACGGGGACCCGCACAAGCGGUGGAGCAUGUGGUUUAAUUCGAAGAUACGCGAAAAACCUUACCAGGUCUUGACAUACCAAUGAUCGCUUUUGUAAUGAAAGCUUUUCUUCGGAACAUUGGAUACAGGUGGUGCAUGGUCGUCGUCAGCUCGUGUCGUGAGAUGUUGGGUUAAGUCCCGCAACGAGCGCAACCCUUGUUAUUAGUUGCCAGCAUUUAGUUGGGCACUCUAAUGAGACUGCCGGUGAUAAACCGGAGGAAGGUGGGGACGACGUCAGAUCAUCAUGCCCCUUAUGACCUGGGCAACACACGUGCUACAAUGGGAAGUACAACGAGUCGCAAACCGGCGACGGUAAGCUAAUCUCUUAAAACUUCUCUCAGUUCGGACUGGAGUCUGCAACUCGACUCCACGAAGGCGGAAUCGCUAGUAAUCGCGAAUCAGCAUGUCGCGGUGAAUACGUUCCCGGGUCUUGUACACACCGCCCGUCAAAUCAUGGGAGUCGGAAGUACCCAAAGUCGCUUGGCUAACUUUUAGAGGCCGGUGCCUAAGGUAAAAUCGAUGACUGGGAUUAAGUCGUAACAAGGUAGCCGUAGGAGAACCUGCGGCUGGAUCACCUCCUUUCUAAGGA